rnacentral:sRNA from 1 species
UUGUAUUUAAUGCCUCUACACCUGAAGCGUUUAAAGAUAUCCCUUACAAUCACCUCAUUUCUUUUGGUUUCAAUUACUCCUCCUUGAUGCUUUUCAGACCUCUUCAAUCUGAAAAUCUCUUUUGACAGAAGAUGGAAACAAAAUCUAUUAUUAUGCCACCAGGCUUAAAUUGAUAACUUCCUUUCUAUCUUUGCUAAAAAUAAAUGUGACCCUGUUUAAUAUCCUUUGCAUUUCUGUAACCUCUGUUCUUUCUGAUUUUAGCCUUCAUGACCAUUUUCCUAGAUCUAGGACAUUUGUAUAUUUGUCUGAGUAUGGACCCUUCUUUUGUGCAUUUAACCAUUCCUUCCAUAAAUAUAUGUUGUAUCCAUCAAGCACUGUUCUAGGCACUAAGGAUACAGUGGUGAAUGAAAUAGGCUUAUUCCUUGCCUUACGUCCUACUAUCUGGUAUAAAUCUUUGUUUAUUGGAUUUAUCUCCUUACCUUUUUCCUAUCUAAUGACAAUUUUAUUUCAUUGUUGAGUUUUUAAUCUUUGAGCAUCAUUUAGCUCUUUUGAAAUGUCUUUUCAAUUAGAUCCCUGGUUUCUUAGAAUAAUUAUUAAUCCCCCCACUGACAUUCCUUGAAAUCAGCCAUUUGAAUAUCCAUGUCAAUAUCUAUAUUUUCUCCCCUAUCAUUUUUCUCCCAUAAUGUUCCCAUAAUUUUGUAAAACUAAAGACAACAAUAUGGGACCAAGAGGCUUUGUCAUAAUUCAUGCAUAUGUUGGGCUUUAAGUCUCAGAUUAUUUAUUUUUCACUUCUUCAUUAUUCCAUUAUUAUCAUGUAAGGAUUUUUUUCAUUGAUUUAUUAAAUCACCAAGAUAUUUUGGCCACAAGAGGUUUAUUAGGAAUAUACUAAAAAAAUGGGCUGAGAAGACUUUUCUCUUCUGCAUGUGAUCAUACUUUUUAUUACAAAUUUAACAUUUUGUCUGUAUUCUAGGAAUAGCCCUGCACUAGUCUAUGCCAUCCUUGUUAUAUGGACUUGGAGCAUGCUGCAGUUUCCACUUGACCUGGCAGUACAGAACGUUGUGUGCCCUGUGUCUGUGGCAGAGAGGGGAUUCCCCAGCCUGUUCGUUUGCCAGUACAGUGCCGAUCUGUGGAACAUCGGAAUCAGCGUCUUCAUACAAGAUGGCCCCUUCCUUGUCGUGCGUCUCAUACUGAUGACCUAUUUCAAAGUGAUCAAUCAGAUGCUGGUGUUCUUUGCCGCGAAGAACUUCCUCGUGGUGGUGUUGCAACUCUACCGCUUGGUGGUGCUGGCAUUGGCAGUCCGUGCUUCGUUGAGAAGUCAGUCAGAAGGCCCGAAAGGAGAACAUGGUUGCCGGGGACAGACCUCUGAGAGUGGGCCCUCUCUGCGGGACUGGCAGAACGAGUCUAAGGAGGGCCUGGCUAUUCCUUUGCGGGGCUCCCCAGUCACCUCCGUCGACUCCCACCACACCCCUUAGUUAUUGAUUGACAGUGGUCUGCGACUAGAACCUGACUCCCUGGUUCUUCUUAUAGGGAGGAUCCUUUUUCUCCCCCAACCUUGGCAUAUAAUAAUUUUCAAAAGAACAACAUAAAAAGGUGAUCUUAAGCCAAAGCUGAGGAAUUUUCUUUUUUCAACUGAAUAGAAGGAACUUUGAUUAGCGACUAUUGCUACAACUUCUGUGUGAUGGUAUCAGAUGUUAUAGUUGUUCAACGACUAAGUGAUUUGUUUGUCUUGAACUGUUUGAAAAGCUGUGGAAGGGGUUACAGUGACAUGCCCUCGAAAGAUUUGGUGCAGACCAACUGUCGCGGCUGUUACCUGGAAAUAGAGAAGCUUUGAACUUUGGCUCCAUUGUCAGACUAUUUCGUCUGAUCUUUUCUGCAAUGUCCCUCUGACAUCAAAAAAUGUACAUUCAGUGAAUGCAGAACAAAUGAAGGGAAAAGUGCCUUUAAAAUUACCUCAUUGUGGGCUGGAAGCAGCGAAAAUCUCUGCCCAGCUUCCGUAUCAUAGAGAGCCCUAUUCAACGCUGCACAGGCCUUCCCAGGAAAAUCAUUUUUCUGGGCUGAUGUUGUAUUCUUCCAUGGCGCAUAUAUUCUUACAGAAAUUUUAUUGCUUUUGGCUUGGGUGCUACAAAAUUCACAGCAAGCCAUUUUGGUUACAUAUCUACUGGUUGCAAGGCAGGAAAUAUUGGUGAAGUGCUGGCAAAGUCACAAUUUCUACUCUGAACAUGAUUUGCAGUGUUCAUCAGUAUUUUUAUGAACCCUACUUUACCAUUUUCUAUAUUGCCAAGUUGAAUCAUGUGGGCUGAUGCAGGGAAGCUCUGAAGCAGUGAAUAAAGGUGUUUCGGGCCCUGU